GACGUAGGAGGCGAGCGUUAUCCGGAUUCACUGGGCGUAAAGCGCAUGUAGGCGGUUGUGUAAGUCCGAUGUUAAAGCCCCUGGCUCAACUGGGGGAGGUCAUUGGAGACUACUCGACUUGAGGGCAACAGAGGCACGUGGAACUCCCGGUGUAGCGGUGGAAUGCGUAGAGAUCAGGAAGAACACCGGUGGCGAAAGCGUUCUGCUGGGCUGCGACUGACACUGAGGGACGAAAGCUAGGGGAGCGAAUGGG
rnacentral:rRNA from 1 species